UUCCAUUUUAUUUUCCUAUAGGUGCUACAGGUGCCUGCAUUUGUGUUGAGACUUGUCUUUGAAGCAACUUGCCCAUCUCAACAAGAUGCUUGCACUGUCUAUUGGCUUCUCUUUGCACCCUGGCUUCUGGAUUGAUCUUGAGUAUGGAUAUAAAACUCCUUCAGCUUAGCCAAAAUGUUAAGAACAAAGAAGGGACUACCAUAGACACAGUGUUUUUUGCUUCAGUAUGAAAGCAGCAUUAUGGCAGAUGCAGAGUUACAUGCAGUUCCUGGCCCAUGAAGACCUGUACUAGCUCUCUAUAAAUCUGUCCAGUGGCAGUCAAAGAAAUAGGAAUGGAUAUCAGGGUGGAGCCAGAAAAAGACGGAUGCCUAACAUAGCAAUUUAGGUCUGGAAUCAGGGAUCAAACAGUUACAGUUUUCUUACCAUCCCCUGGCUCCCCAUUAACCUCUUUUCUGAGAAGAUUUUUCCCUGGAACCUCUUCUCUUAAAGGUCUCUCCCAGAGGUGGCAUAUUCUCUCCUUAAACUCAGAGGAGCGGGAAUUUAAUCACCAUUGAUUCCAUUUGUAGAUACUAAUUAUGAAGAUAUAUGAGAAAGCUGCAUGUUUAUUAAACCAGUGAAGAGAUUCUCAGGUUCAAGUUUUGUUUUCAGCAGACUUAAUGAAGCAAAUCAAGAUUUACCAGUCCCCCGGACACUUCUUUAUUCUUUAGCGAAGGAAUUUGAAUGCAACAGUUACUGAUGAAGAAUGACAGAACAUUUUGGAUGAAGAAAGAUACUCUGAAUGGAAAAGGAGGGAAAAAAAGGAAGACAACAUGGCUGAACUAUUUUGAUACAAUCAUGAGUCAAAAAAAAAAAAAAAGGAGAUACAAUGAUGGGUGCUCAAGAUAAGUGUUUUGGGAGAAGAUUCAUAACUAAUAGAUUUUUUUUUCCUACUGAAAUACUGUGAUCAUGGUAUGUGGUGCUGCUCCUUUACCACACAUGUUUUCAAUAAAAUGACAAGAGCAUUUAUUUGGUAAA